rnacentral:rRNA from 1 species
GCUGAGUUACCAGCACGUAAAGGUGGGGACUCUCAGUGGACUGCCGGCGACAAGCCGGAGGAGGGUGGGGACGACGUCAAGUCAUCAUGGCCCUCAUGUCCAGGGCGACACACGUGCUACAAUGGCCGGCACAACGGGAAGCGACGGCGCGAGUCGUAGCGGAUCCCUCAAAGCCGGUCCCAGUUCGGAUUGCAGUCUGCAACUCGACUGCAUGAAGCCGGAAUCGCUAGUAAUCGUGGAUCAGCCAAGCCGCGGUGAAUACGUUCCCGGGCCUU